rnacentral:rRNA from 1 species
UACGAAGGGGGCUAGCGUUGCUCGGAAUGACUGGGCGUAAAGGGCGCGUAGGCGGUUUGUACAGUCAGAUGUGAAAUUCCUGGGCUCAACCUGGGGGCUGCAUUUGAUACGUAUGGACUGGAGUGAGGAAGAGGGUCGUGGAAUUCCCAGUGUAGAGGUGAAAUUCGUAGAUAUUGGGAAGAACACCGGUGGCGAAGGCGGCAUCCUGGACCGGCAUUGACGCUGAGGAGCGAAAGCCAGGGGAGCAAACGGG